rnacentral:rRNA from 1 species
GAGCCCGUGAAUCUGGGCGGCGGAAUUCAGGGUUGACCGGCGUUCACGCGUCGGGCUGCUUGAUAUUUCCGUCGCCGAGUAGACGUUGCGACCUGUUUGACGUCGGUCCUUGUUCGGAGGAACUGCGAACGAGUUUGUUGCCGUGGUUGCGUUUCGGCGCGCCCCGGCGGCGAAGUCGCAGACUUCUGGCCGACUUGUCAGACAGUAAGCGGAACGGUGUCUGAUGUCGUYGCCUCGUGCACGCGGCAUCRGGGCCGGUCAGYAACGAUUUCAUCGGGCCUCUGUCMGACC